AAAGGGCAACCUCGACACACAAAAAGUAUCAUUAAUCGCCUACUCGUCUCCUCAAUCUUAUCAUCAACCGAAAUCUCUACAAACAAAUUUCCAAGAUGAAAUUCCUCUUGUACACUUUGGCCAUCGUUUGUCUGAUUUGUGCCGUCUGGGCAGAGGGUGAAGAAGAAGUCCCUGCUCCAGAUCCUACUAACACGACGACCAGGGCGCCAAUCAUUGGUUUCCCCACCGUUGUGCCACCCUCCUGGGCUGCUAACUUCACCAGCUCCUGGUUAGAUUUUGGUCGCCGUUAAUACCUUUUGCUGGGGUGACAAUGCCGAACAGAUGAACUUGUAGCUGAAUUCUUAAUAUCAAAAUCAUAACUUUGUUCCGCUCUCAUUCUGUUUUCUGACAAAUAAAAGUUCAAAUUAAUUGCAUAAUAAACAUUUACAAGUGUC